UACAGAGGGUGCAAGCGUUGUCCGGAUUUACUGGGCGUAAAGAGCGCGCAGGCGGUCGAUCAAGUCGAGUGUGAAAGCCCCCGGCUCAACUGGGGAGGGUCACUCGAUACUGAUCGACUCGAAGGCGGGAGAGGGAAGCGGAAUUCCCGGUGUAGUGGUGAAAUGCGUAGAUAUCGGGAGGAACACCAGUGGCGAAGGCGACUACCUGGCCUGUUCUUGACGCUGAGGCGCGAAAGCUAGGGGAGCAAACGGG
rnacentral:rRNA from 1 species